rnacentral:rRNA from 1 species
AGUUCUAACCAUAAACGAUGCCAACCAGUAAUUCGCCUGAGUUCCUUAAAUGACUCGGCGAGGGACUUCCGGGAAACCAAAGUCUUUCGGUUCCAGGGGAAGUAUGGUUGCAAAGCUGAAACUUAAAGAAAUUGACGGAAGGGCACCACCAGGAGUGGAGCCUGCGGCUUAAUUUGACUCAACACGGGAAAACUCACCCGGCCCGGACACUGGAAGGAUUGACAGAUUGAGAGCUCUUUCUUGAUUCAGUGGGUGGUGGUGCAUGGCCGUUCUUAGUUGGUGGAGUGAUUUGUCUGGUUAAUUCCGAUAACGAACGAGACUCUAGCCUACUAAAUAGAUCGUCGGCUUACAAACGCCGACGAGACUUCUUAGAGGGACAGGCGGUGAUUCAACCGCACGAAACAGAGCAAUAACAGGUCUGUGAUGCCCUUAGAUGUCCGGGGCCGCACGCGCGCUACACUGAAGUGAUCAGCGUGCUUUUUCAACCUACUCUGUCAAGAGUGGGGAACCCAAUGAACCUUCUUCGUGAUUGGGAUAGGGGAUUGUAAUUAUUCCCCUUGAACGAGGAAUUCCCAGUAAGCGCGAGUCAUAAGCUCGCGUUGAUUACGUCCCUGCCCUUUGUACACACCGCCCGUCGCUACUACCGAUUGAAUGUUUUAGUGA